UACGUAGGUGGCAAGCGUUGUCCGGAUUUACUGGGCGUAAAGAGCGCGCAGGCGGUCGUACAAGUCGCGUGUGAAAGCCCCCCGGCUCAACUGGGGAGGGUCACGCGAUACUGUUCGACUCGAAGGCAGGAGAGGGUAGUGGAAUUCCCGGUGUAGUGGUGAAAUGCGUAGAUAUCGGGAGGAACACCAGUGGCGAAGGCGGCAUCCUGGACCGACAUUGACGCUGAACGGCGAAAGCUAGGGGAGCAAACGGG
rnacentral:rRNA from 1 species